rnacentral:rRNA from 1 species
UAAUACAUGCAAGUUGAGCGCUGAAGGUUGGUACUUGUACCGACUGGAUGAGCAGCGAACGGGUGAGUAACGCGUGGGGAAUCUGCCUUUGAGCGGGGGACAACAUUUGGAAACGAAUGCUAAUACCGCAUAAAAACUUUAAACACAAGUUUUAAGUUUGAAAGAUGCAAUUGCAUCACUCAAAGAUGAUCCCGCGUUGUAUUAGCUAGUUGGUGAGGUAAAGGCUCACCAAGGCGAUGAUACAUAGCCGACCUGAGAGGGUGAUCGGCCACAUUGGGACUGAGACACGGCCCAAACUCCUACGGGAGGCAGCAGUAGGGAAUCUUCGGCAAUGGACGAAAGUCUGACCGAGCAACGCCGCGUGAGUGAAGAAGGUUUUCGGAUCGUAAAACUCUGUUGGUAGAGAAGAACGUUGGUGAGAGUGGAAAGCUCAUCAAGUGACGGUAACUACCCAGAAGGGGACGGCUACCUACGU